rnacentral:tRNA from 1 species
GGGGCCUUAGCUCAGCUGGGAGAGCGCCUGCUUUGCACGCAGGAGGUCAGCGGCUCGAUCCCGCUAGGCUCCACCA